AAUAAAGUUNNNNNNNNNNCAAGUCUAUUCAAAGCUUGAUUUUUCAUAACAGUAGAACAACUUUCAACAGCCUUCAAUGGAAAAAAUUGCAGAGAAGCAUCAAAUGAACAAUUCAACAUAAGCACGAUCUCAGAAAUUACAAGUAACCCAUGAAUAGCAUCACUGAGCAAAUAUCAUUCAGACUUCUGAGUACUAGAGACUUCAAAUGAGAUUUAAAAAAAACAAAAAAAAGAACUGAAAAAACUGAAACCAAAGAAUUCUAUAACCAGAAUAGGAAACACAGUGGACCCAUAAUGCCGGAAUUGGACAUACCCUGAAAAAUGGGCGGAAGUGGCUGGAAUUGCGAUUCCAAAACCGGCCAAACCCUAACUCGAAAAUUAACCGGCCAAACCUAGAAAUUCUCAAAUCCUACCCAACCAUCAGGUAGAACACGAAAAAUAGUCGAAAAUCCAUACCUUAGUCAACUGAUUUGGUGUCUGGGUCAGCUCAUCUGAGUCGUUGGGGUCGGAGUUGGGACGGAUCUCGGUGAGCAUCCGAUUGUCUCUUCGACGAAGCCGCAGCUGAUGGUGAUUUUGAUUUUGUUGAGGGUUUUCUGGAUUUGGCACCCUCACAUAGAUGAACCCACACGACUAUGCUCUGAAAGAUAGCCAAGGCUCUUGAGUUCUUGCUAGAGAUGACAAGGGGAGAGGGUGGAGAUGGAUGGGUUGAAACUGAGUGAAAUAAAAAGAGAGCGUCUUUUGUGAUUUUCAAUCUGAGUUGCGAAUGGCCAAAGGC
rnacentral:lncRNA from 1 species